ACCUGAUGGCUCAGUUGGUUGAGCAUCUGACUUCGACUCAGGUGAUCUUGCAGUCAGUGAGUUCGAGCCCCACAUCGGGCU
rnacentral:tRNA from 1 species